UGGAAUGUAUACUGUAUCGACGA
rnacentral:miRNA from 1 species